rnacentral:rRNA from 1 species
CUCCUGGAAACGGGUGGUAAUGCCGGAUGUUCCAGUUGAUCGCAUGGUCUUCUGGGAAAGCUUUCGCGGUAUGGGAUGGGGUCGCGUCCUAUCAGCUUGACGGCGGGGUAACGGCCCACCGUGGCUUCGACGGGUAGCCGGCCUGAGAGGGCGACCGGCCACAUUGGGACUGAGAUACGGCCCAGACUCCUACGGGAGGCAGCAGUGGGGAAUAUUGCACAAUGGGCGCAAGCCUGAUGCAGCGACGCCGCGUGAGGGAUGGAGGCCUUCGGGUUGUAAACCUCUUUUAUCGGGGAGCAAGCGUGAGUGAGUUUACCCGUUGAAUAAGCACCGGCUAACUACGUGCCAGCAGCCGCGGUAAUACGUAGGGUGCAAGCGUUAUCCGGAAUUAUUGGGCGUAAAGGGCUCGUAGGCGGUUCGUCGCGUCCGGUGUGAAAGCCCAUCGCUUAACGGUGGAUCCGCGCCGGGUACGGGCGGGCUUGAGUGCGGUAGGGGAGACUGGAAUUCCCGGUGUAACGGUGGAAUGUGUAGAUAUCGGGAAGAACACC